rnacentral:rRNA from 1 species
GAUGAACGCUGGCGGCGUGCCUAAUACAUGCAAGUCGAGCGAACGGACGAGAAGCUUGCUUCUCUGAUGUUAGCGGCGGACGGGUGAGUAACACGUGGAUAACCUACCUAUAAGACUGGGAUAACUUCGGGAAACCGGAGCUAAUACCGGAUAAUAUUUUGAACCGCAUGGUUCAAAAGUGAAAGACGGUCUUGCUGUCACUUAUAGAUGGAUCCGCGCUGCAUUAGCUAGUUGGUAAGGUAACGGCUUACCAAGGGAACGAUGCAUAGCCGGCCUGAGAGGGGGAUCGGCCACACUGGAACUGAGACACGGUCCAGACUCCUACGGGAGGCAGCAGUAGGGAAUCUGCCGCAAUGGGCGAAAGCCUGACGGAGCAACGCCGCGUGAGUGAUGAAGGGCUUCGGAUCGUAAAACUCUGUUAUUAGGGAAGAACAUAUGUGUAAGUAACUGUGCACAUCUUGACGGUACCUAAUCAGAAAGCCACGGCUAACUACGUG